GCCGUGGCAUCACUUAGUGGGCAGAGCAUCAUGUAGAAUGAAAGGAGUUCUUCCCUAUGAAACAGGAAGAUUAAAGAGCUGGGGAUCUGCACUGACAGGCUGCUACUGAGGAGAGAAAAGGAGAACCUGUGCUCUCUGUGCAGGCAACUCCAGCACACAACAUGCAUCCAGAUGAGACUGAGUGAAAAGGAGACAAGAAAAUGAGCUCAGUGCAGCAAAGGCUGGUUAGAAAGCUAGUUAGAAGGGUCCUUAAGACAAAGUGUUCCUGUUGACUUAAAUGGGGUUUGGAUAGCCUGACAGUGUUGGCUUAUGUUUGAGCUUCCAGACAUCGGGUUUGGUUGUUGUAAAUAAGAUUCUCUCUCUGCUUUAGGGUGGAAAACAGGAGCCAUGCUGCCAACAGUGAGGAGUGGAGCCAACACUGCUCCAGAGGUCCACUUUGCAAUCUGUACAGUGCGUGAACACAAGGCUGCAAGUUGGGAGAUGUGGCACCACUUGAGCUCUCCACUCCUCACCAACACUGGAGCUGCAGAAAGCCUUUGCCCUGAGUGCAACCACCUAAUGAUGUUAAGCUAUGGUAUGUCUUGCGAAUGCUCUCCUCGUUUCAAUCCAGAAAACAAUGAGGUGUUUUGUUGUUGUUUUUCAUUUUUUUUUUAAUCCUUAAUUAAUCCAAAUCUAUACAUGUCUUAAUGGAAAUAAAGACUAAAAAUAAUGACCUAAACGCUCUCA
rnacentral:lncRNA from 1 species